rnacentral:rRNA from 1 species
GUUAGGAAUAUUGGACAAUGGGCGCAAGCCUGAUCCAGCCAUGCCGCGUGAGUGAUGAAGGCCUUCGGGUUGUAAAGCUCUUUAGUCCACGAAUAUAAUGACUGUAGUGGAAGAAUAAGCCCCGGCUAACUUCGUGCCAGCAGCCGCGGUAAUACGAAGGUGGCGAGCGUUAUUCGGAAUCACUGGGCGUAAAGCGUGCGUAGGCUGUUUUGUAAGUCAGAAGUGAAAGCCCAGGGCUUAACCCUGGAAUUGCUUUUGAAACUACAAGACUCGAAUUCGGGAGAGGAUAGCGGAAUUGUCAGUGUAGCAGUGAAAUGCGUAGAUAUUGACAGGAACACCAGUGGCGCAAGCGGCUAUCUGGACCGAUAUUGACGCUGAGGCACGAAAGCGUGGGGAGCAAACAGGAUUAGAAACCCGGGUAGUCC